GACGAACGCUGGCGGCGUGCUUAACACAUGCAAGUCGAACGGAAAGGCCCUGCUUUUGUGGGGUGCUCGAGUGGCGAACGGGUGAGUAACACGUGAGUAACCUGCCCUUGACUUUGGGAUAACUUCAGGAAACUGGGGCUAAUACCGGAUAGGAGCUCCUGCUGCAUGGUGGGGGUUGGAAAGUUUCGGCGGUUGGGGAUGGACUCGCGGCUUAUCAGCUUGUUGGUGGGGUAGUGGCUUACCAAGGCUUUGACGGGUAGCCGGCCUGAGAGGGUGACCGGCCACAUUGGGACUGAGAUACGGCCCAGACUCCUACGGGAGGCAGCAGUGGGGAAUAUUGCACAAUGGGCGGAAGCCUGAUGCAGCAACGCCGCGUGCGGGAUGACGGCCUUCGGGUUGUAAACCGCUUUCGCCUGUGACGAAGCGUGAGUGACGGUAAUGGGUAAAGAAGCACCAGCCAACUACGUG
rnacentral:rRNA from 1 species